CUCGGAGUGGUUUUUGAAGUCACGAUGUGCUGCGGGGCUAGAAGAUGUUGGGUUUCUCCCGUUGCCACUUGGCAGAGGCUUGACACCAGCAGUGCUGCCAUGGCUCCUGUGCCAGCUCCUUGGGAUGGGCAGCCAGGGUUAAGCUACAGGCUUUUCUACAUCCUCUCUUUUCUUUGCAUGUGCAGCAAGACAAAGCUCACCUCACUAUUUGCUAUCUUCUGGCAGGGCACCACAGUGGUGCUCACAGGAGCAGCCCUGGAGAUGAUCCGCACUUACUGGCUGUGAAGAGGCUGGUGGACAUCGGGACGUGCUCCCUGCAGACAGCCCUGUUCUACAUUUGCUCUUGUCGAAGGCAGCCCCUGCUACGGGCAGAGCAAGACCAGCACAAAGCGCUCCUGAUGGUCCCUUCAGACAUCCUGAGGGAGAGCAAGAGUGCCAGAGAGUGGACACAGCAUCGACAGGGAACUUUUCCAAACCUAGGAGCAGAGGCGUACUGGAAGGAGAAGAGCCUUAACAUCAGGGGAACCAGCAAACAAACCAGCCACAGGCACCAACGCUGGCACCUUCCAUUGAGAGGAAACGACCCGCAGGAGGAAAUGUGCUCCUUCUCCGUCACUAACAGGGCAAAGUCCCUGGCAAACAGGUUCCAGGACACUUUAACAAACAGCAGCGUCAACAGCCCGUAUCCCAUAGCUCAAGAGAGACAGUGGUGACAUGCUCUAAGUGCCUCUGCUGAACUUUGGAAGACUUGUGCUGUUCCAGGGUUAUCUGAACAGAAGAGAGUUCCAUUUUUCAUCCAUGUCGAAGUAUGAACCGUUUGGCACCAUGAACAUCUGGAGGGUGUAUCUCUAACUGAGGACUACCCGAAGAGGAGCUCUAGACAAUACAAUAAACACUGGCCACACUGCA
rnacentral:lncRNA from 1 species